rnacentral:rRNA from 1 species
UACGAAGGGGGCUAGCGUUGCUCGGAAUUACUGGGCGUAAAGGGAGCGUAGGCGGACAUUUAAGUCAGGGGUGAAAUCCCAGAGCUCAACUCUGGAACUGCCUUUGAUACUGGGUGUCUUGAGUGUGAGAGAGGUAUGUGGAACUCCGAGUGUAGAGGUGAAAUUCGUAGAUAUUCGCAAGAACACCAGUGGCGAAGGCGGCUUACUGGUCCGGGAACUGACGCUGAGG